rnacentral:rRNA from 1 species
CCCUUAGACGUUCUGGGCCGCACGCGCGCUACACUGACCAGUGCAACAAGCAUCCGUCCUUGGCCGACAGGCCCGGGCAAUCUUUGAACGCUGGUCGUGAUGGGGAUAGACUUUUGCAAUUUUUGGUCUUCAACGAGGAAUUCCUAGUAAACGCAAGUCAUCAACUUGCAUUGAUCACGUCCCUGCCCUUUGUACACACCGCCCGUCGCACCUACCGAUUGAAUGGUCCGGUGAAGCCUCCGGAUUGGCGCGCACCUCGGUGCCGCCGAGAAGUUGGCUAAACCUUACCAUUUAGAGGAAGGUGAAGUCGUAACA